GGCGUGUCAAUUGGUGAUUGGCUGGAAAAAAAAAAGGGGGAAAAUGUUUUCUUUUUCUUCCCUCGGCGAAAUCGGAAGAAAUCUACAACACUUGGGACUUCAUCUCACCUGCGAUCUUCUUCUAAGGAUCCGACAUGAUGACGAACCCAAACCCGACCAUUGAUUGAAAGCAGCUUCGCCGGAAAGAUGGAAUAUGGAUGUGUUGAUAUCUAAGCGGCAUGGAAUCGGAAGCGGGUACCUGGAAGCGGGUACGUUUGGAAACGCUGAACGUAUUUUAUGAAAAAUAUUGGAAUCGGGUACGUUUAAAAACGCUGAAGCGUAUUUUAUGAAAAAUAUUGGAAUCGGGUACGCUUUGGAAGCGUAUAAUUUAAAUAUAUAAAUAUAUAUAUAUAUAUAUAUAUAUAUAUAUAUAUGUGGUUAAUAAUAAUAAUAUAUAGUCUAAAACAUAUAAUUUUAUGUAUUUAAAUUACUAUGUACAAGAUUAGAAUCAAAAUUCUAA